GAUAGACAUGUAACACAUGCAUAUAAGGCCUUCAGAUGUGCAAUGGCAAAAGAAUCAUCUAAGUAUUUCUGUGUUUCUUCUGGACAAUGGGAUUGAGAAUGAAGGUGGCAGCUGAACACGACUGUGAAUUCAAAGGCCACAGCGGCAACAGAGGACAAAAUCCAUCAUGAGCCUGAUGGGUUGGUGAGACGGAUUCAGGCACAGUGGGAAGGUGUAGGUUUGGCAAAAGGAUGAGGGUCCCACCUUAACAGCUGGUUUUUGGCAGUCUUCCCAGAAGUGCCUCCCUGAACUCUGAACAGCAGGUAUGAAUAAUGGCAGUUUCCAAAUCCUAUCACCCAGUCUUAAUCAUCCACAGCAUAGAUCCAUCCAGCAUGGCUUUAGUGAAUGCUUGGCCCAGUCGAAACAGAAGUUAAGUGCAGUAAAAGUUCUGGUGCAUCUAGUUAUAGCUGAGACUUUGUGCUGUCAGGCAUGUUUUUACUUGAAACUAUGAGAUAAACAUAGCAUUGCGUUACAAUGCUAAUUCCAUUUGAUGGUGAGCAAUUAAAAACAUUACAUUAAAAAUGAAAACAUUGUAGCUGAGAUGAAAAACUUGGAUGAGUUGAAAGAUUUCAAAGAAUGUUCUUAAUGGAGCAGUUGAUGCCAGAACCCUUGCGAGUACAAGUCUAUUCCUUCCUUCAUUAGGAUUGCUUCAGUCAGAAACAUUUAUAAUGCCUUGGAGGACAGGAUCAAUUCCAAGUCCGAGACCCCAUUUCUCCAUGAUCUGAUCAUGCCUGACUUGCCACCUUCUUCUCUUUAAUGGUUCUCUCAAAACUCCAUUCAACAAGGAUCUACACCACUUAACAGCCAUAGAAAUGCCAAAAAUGAAUUUUAUAUAAAAAAUUAGAAGCAUACAAAGCUUUGAGGAGGU
ensembl:lncRNA